rnacentral:rRNA from 1 species
GACGAACGCUGGCGGCGUGCUUAACACAUGCAAGUCGAACGGAAAGGCCCUGCUUUUGUGGGGUGCUCGAGUGGCGAACGGGUGAGUAACACGUGAGUAACCUGCCCUUGACUUUGGGAUAACUUCAGGAAACUGGGGCUAAUACCGGAUAGGAGCUCCUGCUGCAUGGUGGGGGUUGGAAAGUUUCGGCGGUUGGGGAUGGACUCGCGGCUUAUCAGCUUGUUGGUGGGGUAGUGGCUUACCAAGGCUUUGACGGGUAGCCGGCCUGGGAGGGUGACCGGCCACAUUGGAACUGAGAUACGGCCCAGACUCCUACGGGAGGCAGCAGUGGAGAAUAGUGCACAAUGGGCGGAAGCCUGAUGCAGCAACGCCGCGUGCGGGAUGACGGCAUUCGGGUUGUAAACCGCUUUCGCCUGUGACGAAGCGUGAGUGACGGUAAUGGGUAAAGAAGCACCGGCUAACUACGUG